AUGAGGACCACACAAAUUCUGCUCUUGGGUCUUGCCCUCAUGGUGCUAUCAUCGGACAUGGCAACCAUUGAGGGGGAAGUGCAUUGCGGCCCUGAGAUUGGAACGGGCCCGUUGCCGUGCGAUCGCGCCAAUUGCACGACAUGGUGUAGGAACAAUGGUGGCAAGAAUGCUGAGUGUGUUCCCGGAGGAUGCAGGUGUGUAGCAUGCUGGAAAGAGCCCCCCAGCUCGCCAUUAUCAAGCUAG
rnacentral:rRNA from 1 species